CCCAGGGCUGACACCCUGGGCUACUAUAUGCUGUCCCUUCGGGACU
rfam:Bacterium TASB270 DNA, scaffold: TASB270_scaffold_2.